ensembl:lncRNA
CCCCCCUCACAGCCUCGGAUAAACACAUCGACUGAACGACUGACACAUGGCCCCCCCUCACAGCCUCGGGUAAACACAUCGACUGAACGAUCCCCCCCUCACAGCCUCGGAUAAACACAAUGACUGAACGAGCCCCCUCACAGCCUCGGAUAAACACAAUGACUGAAUGAGCCAGAGCCCCCCUCACAGCCUCGGAUAAACACAACAACUGAACAAGCCCCUUCUCAGCCUCGGAUAAACACAAUGACUGAACGAGCCCCCCCCCCUCACAGCCUCGGAUAAACACAACUACUGAAUGAGCCCCCCUCACAGCCUCGGAUAAACACAACUACUGAAUGAGCCCCCCCCUCACAGCCUCGGAUAAACACAACGACUGAACACCUCUCUCCCUCUGUCCAUCUAACAGGGGCUGAGAUGCCAGAACGGCCUGAUCCGCCCGCCUACCAGGGACUUUUUAAACCUCUUUCUGUUCGUUGCCUUCUCCUCCCUGAAUGCAUCCCAAAUGGCACCCUAUUCCCUUUAUAGUGCUCUACUUUUGACCAAAGCACCUUGGGCCCUGGUGUAAAGUAGUGCACUACAUAGGGAAUAGAGUACUAGUUGGGCCACACAAGGCUCUCUCCUUAACAGUAAAGAGAGAGUUUCCAUCCUGGUACUUCUGAGAGGCUGCCUCAGGCUCUUCCAUCCUGGUACUUCUGAGAGGCUGCCUCAGGCUCUUCCAUCCUGGUACUUCUGAGAGGCUGCCUCAGGCUGUGUUUAGUGGGAGGGGCAUCAGGAUUGUGUUUAGUGGGAGGCAUCAGGAUCAGUAAAAGUUGUAUUGGUCGAUACCCCUCCCCUUCUCUUCACUAGACAACCAAUGCCAAGACACCGUACUCAAGGAACUUUUGUUUUCUGAGAUAUUUGUUUUCUUUUUUUUAGUAGUAUUUGUUUUUGAAAUGAGUCUAAACUUUGUCCAUUUUAUUGUGCCUUACAAGUGGGAUUAAUUUGAAUGUUUUUAAUGUUUUGUUUCUUUGAUGCGGCCUAUUGAUUUUGUGGUGAUAUUAAGUUUAAACGGUGUACUACUCCCUGAGGUACAGUAGUAUUUGCAGUGGUUUUCCUUUGGCUGCACUUCCCACUACUUCCUAUGACUUCCUGUUUUCCCUGUAGGGACUUCUAGAGUUUGGUGUUAAUGAGAU